UCCCCGGAAAGGAAAGGAUGGACGACAUCGUCGUAGCAGCUGCAGCAGCUUCGCCAUCGCCGUGGAGCCUUCUCCAGGGGCUCCUCGCCCUGCUCGUCGUGUGGGGGGCCUACCGGGCCGCCGAGAGAUACUGGCUGCGGCCGCGGCGGCUCGACCGGGCGCUCCGGGCGCAGGGGCUCAGCGGCACUGAGUACCGCUUCCCGGCGGGCGACCUCCAGGAGAACGCCCGGCUCAACGAUGAGGCGCGGUCCAGGCCCAUGCCGCAGUGCCAUGACGUUGUUCCC
rnacentral:lncRNA from 1 species